AGAAGAGGCUCAGCGGGAAUCUUUUCACCAAAAGGCGCUGAUACAGUGAGUUGGCCCACCAUACUGCUGGAGUUUGGUUAAUGCAGAGUUUAUACGGAUAAAUGUAAUGCCUCUUGAAUCACGGUUCAUCUCCCAGUUGGACAAGCACACGGAUAACCUGAUGAAGGUAUUCCGCAACAAAGGGGGAGUUGCAGGAAAGAAGAUCCGUCAGAUAAUGUCAUUGACAAUCAAGACAGAUGACCUGCACGUUGAGCGAGAGCAUCUUGAAAUCCCUGUGUGUCUACCUGAAUGAGAACAUCAAGCCACUCGUCAAGGAAUACUCGCUGAGUACAUAUAUUAGCAUAUAGAAACACCAUUUAUUUGAGAAAAUAUGUCUGCUGUCUUUUGAAAUUAAUGCAGUAUAUUGGAAAUACUGACAAAAUAAUUGGGGGGAAAAAAACAAUUCAGCCCAUUUUUUUUCCCGAAUGGAUGGCAUAGUGCUAUAAUGGAGUUAGUUAUGGGUUUGAUAUCACACAGACAUUACACAUGGAUACAGCAAUGUCUUCUUGCUCUGUUCACUCUGAUGCUGAUGCUUCUGCCCCAAGCCCUUGUUCUUUGCAAGAUGGGUGAGUGAAAGUAAACUGCCAGCUGUUUGGUGAGCAAGUGAGCGGUCACAAGGAAGGAUUCAGAUACAUUUUGAGAUAAUUAUCUCAUUAAUUCCUUUUUUUUUCUUCAAAUUAAAGGGAUAGCUGGGAUUUUUUGACACCCCCAUCAGCAGUGUAGUGCAUCAACAGCAACUUUCCCCCCCACUUUGUCCCGUGAGCGGAGUUCUGUUCAGACUUCAGUGAUGAGGAAAGUAGUUCUGGUUAGUUGGUGGGGUCACUUAAAGAGUUUGGCUUCUCAAAACAAUAUGCGUUCAAAAGAGUAACACAUUUGCAUCACAAAAAUGCUUCCUCGAAAAAAUCAGAUCUCGCAAUCUCUCUGCAUUACUCUCUCCCAUCAUGUCUCUGCGAGUUCGUUGUUGUGAAUAUGUUCCACAGCGGCUGAAGACCGCUACGUCACAUCCCUGCAUGUAAACACUGUGGAACACAUACAUCACCGAAAUCUGACCAGAACUGGGUUCAUGGGACGAAGUGGGGGUAAGCCACCGUUGAUGCACUGCACUGCUGAUGGGGAUGUCUUACAAUUUCAUGGCAAAGAAUCCCAACAAUCCCUUUACUGCAAUAUUCUUCGAUAUUAUGAUAACUAUGUAUCACUGAAAACAUUCCAAGAAAAUCAAGUUUCUUUUGGAGGCAUCUUGACUCUUAAAAUGACCAAACACUGUUUAACUUGUUUUUUUUCUGUGCUGGUCUUCCUUAGAGCAUCAACACAGAUGACAUGGAGAGGGAGUUUCCUCUGACAACCAUGGGGGUCUACGUGGUCAGAAAAGAAAAUGCAGAGCCCGAAGAAGAUCCAGAGGGUGUGGGAGUGCUGAUUUGAAGGGGUGGAGGUCCUUGCUGGCCUACCAAGUAUCACUUGUGGAUGCGCCAUGUUGUUUGGAUUGAUCUAUGCACUCAAUUUGAGCUACUCACGAGCGUGGAAGUGUACAUUUGAAGUGUACCAGAAGAUACUGAUGAACCUAGAUGGUAAGAAGCUUUCACCAAAAGUUCAGUCACUGAAAAUCAAGAGGCUGCAGUGAUCUUUAUGAUGCAGUCAUGCUUCACCAGUGGACUCUUUUUUGACUCUUCCUUCUAUAUUUGAAUCUUUCACUUGUGAUGGAAACAAAUUUUGUGUUGUCAUUGUUGCAUUUAAAUGUAUACCUGGUUUUCCAUUGGACCUUGUUUGACUCAACAUACCAAAGGGUGCAUUUAUGAUGGCCAUUCUUUUUGUGUUAACACAAAUUUUUUUUGUUUUAGGAUGGUUAUAUUCUUGGUGUGUUUUCAGUCAUAAAAAAGUUAUUGUAAUAUAGAGAAUGUUGCAUUAUUUGAAGGGAAAACAAUCUUUUGAAUUAAUGAGAUGAUUAUCUCCGAAUUGAGAUGAAUGCCAUUUUGACCACUCACUUGCUCACUACAGCUGGUAGUUUACUGUCCCUCACACAUCCCUGCAAAGAACAAGGGAUCGGAGCUGAAGCAUCAGCAUCCAGUGAAGUCAUAACAAUUUGUGGGGAUAUUGUAAACAAAAUGUAUUUCAGACUACUGUCACUUUUCUUGGUUAAUGUUUUCAGCAGGGAUAUUUUUUAUUGACGAUUUAUCUGUAUCGGGAAUAUCAUUCUUUGCAUGUUAGAUAUUCACAUUAUAUUUGAUGCAUUUUAAAAUAGGUUUUCCCUUGAUGUCGCAUCUCCAUAAUAAGAAGUGAUGGAAAUGCUAUGCAGGAGGAAAAGGACAAAUA